UUCCUACGGGGGGCAGCAGUGAGGAAUAUUGCACAAUGGGCGAAAGCCUGAUGCAGCAACGCCGCGUGAGGGACGAAGGCCUUCGGGUCGUAAACCUCUUUUCUGGGGAAAGAGCAAGGACGGUACCUCAGGAAUAAGUCUCGGCUAACUACGUGCCAGCAGCCGCGGUAAAACGUAGGAGGCGAGCGUUAUCCGGAUUUACUGGGCGUAAAGCGCGCGCAGGUGGUUUCGUUAGUCGGACAUGAAAGCUCCUGGCUUAACUGGGAGAGGCUGUUCGAUACUGCGGGACUUGAGGUUGGGAGAGGGGUGUGGAAUUCCCGGUGUAGUGGUGGAAUGCGUAGAUAUCGGGAGGAACACCUGUGGCGAAAGCGGCACCCUGGCCCACACCUGACACUGAGGUGCGAAAGCGUGGGGAGCAAACAGGAUUAGAUACCCUUGUAGUCUGA
rnacentral:rRNA from 1 species